rnacentral:rRNA from 1 species
UGAGUUUACGCUCUACAACCCUUUGUGAACAUACCUAUAACUGUUGCUUCGGCGGGUAGGGUCUCCGUGACCCUCCCGGCCUCCCGCCCCCGGGCGGGUCGGCGCCCGCCGGAGGAUAACCAAACUCUGAUUUAACGACGUUUCUUCUGAGUGGUACAAGCAAAUAAUCAAAACUUUUAACAACGGAUCUCUUGGUUCUGGCAUCGAUGAAGAACGCAGCGAAAUGCGAUAAGUAAUGUGAAUUGCAGAAUUCAGUGAAUCAUCGAAUCUUUGAACGCACAUUGCGCCCGCCAGCAUUCUGGCGGGCAUGCCUGUUCGAGCGUCAUUUCAACCCUCAAGCUCUGCUUGGUGUUGGGGCCCUACAGCUGAUGUAGGCCCUCAAAGGUAGUGGCGGACCCUCCCGGAGCCUCCUUUGCGUAGUAACUUUACGUCUCGCACUGGGAUCCGGAGGGACUCUUGCCGUAAAACCCCCCAAUUUUCCAAAGGUUGACCUCGGAUCAGGUAGGAAUACCCGCUGAACUUAAGCAUAUCAAUAAGCGGAGGAAAAGAAACCAACAGGGAUUGCCUCAGUAACGGCGAGUGAAGCGGCAACAGCUCAAAUUUGAAAUCUGGCCCUAGGCCCGAGUUGUAAUUUGCAGAGGAUGCUUUUGGUGCGGUGCCUUCCAAGUUCCCUAGAACGGGACGCCAGAGAGGGUGAGAGCCCCGUACAGUUGGACACCAAGCCUUUGUAAAGCUCCUUCGACGAGUCGAGUAGUUUGGGAAUGCUGCUCAAAAUGGGAGGUAUAUUUCUUCUAAAGCUAAAUACCGGCCAGAGACCGAUAGCGCACAAGUAGAGUGAUCGAAAGAUGAAAAGCACUUUGAAAAGAGGGUUAAACAGCACGUGAAAUUGUUAAAAGGGAAGCGCUUGUGACCAGACUUGCGUCCGGUGAAUCACCCAGCUCUCGCGGCUGGGGCACUUCGCCGGCUCAGGCCAGCAUCAGCUCGCUGUCGGGGACAAAAGCUUCAGGAACGUAGCUCUCUUCGGGGAGUGUUAUAGCCUGUUGCAUAAUACCCUUCGGCGGGCUGAGGUACGC